rnacentral:rRNA from 1 species
UGGGGAGUAUUGGGCAAUGGGCGCAAGCCUGACCCAGCAACGCCGUGUGAGGGAAGAAGGUUUUCGGAUCGUAAACCUCUGUCAGAAGGGAAGAAGUGGCAGAUAUUUAAUAGAUAUUUGCUUUGACGGUACCUUCAGAGGAAGCACCGGCUAACUCCGUGCCAGCAGCCGCGGUAAUACGGAGGGUGCAAGCGUUAUUCGGAAUCACUGGGCGUAAAGCGCGCGUAGGUUGCGUGGUAAGUCAGAUGUGAAAGCCCCCGGCUCAACCGGGGAACAGCAUUUGAAACUGCCAUGCUUGAGUACGACAGAGGGUGGCGGAAUUCCCGGUGUAGGAGUGAAAUCCGUAGAUAUCGGGAGGAACACCAGUGGCGAGGGCGGCCACCUGGGUCGAUACUGACGCUGAGGUGCGAAAGCGUGGGUAGCAAACAGGAUCAGAUACCCUGGUAGUCCACGCCGUAAACGAUGGAUGCUAGGUGUUGGGUGCAAGACACUCAGUGCCGCAGUUAACGCGUUAAGCAUCCCGCUCUGGGGACUACGGUCGCAAGGCUG